UACAGAGGUGGCAAGCGUUGUUCGGAAUUACUGGGCGUAAAGGGUCUGUAGGUGGCUUGCUAAGUCAGACGUGAAAUCCCUCAGCUUAACUGGGGAACUGCGUCUGAUACUGGCGAGCUUGAGUGCAGGAGAGGAACGCGGAAUUCCAGGUGUAGCGGUGAAAUGCGUAGAUAUCUGGAGGAACACCGGUGGCGAAGGCGGCGUUCUGGACUGCAACUGACACUGAGAGACGAAAGCCAGGGGAGCAAACGGG
rnacentral:rRNA from 1 species